UAUGUUACACUGUAACGAAUUGCUGUAAAAAUUACAGCAUUAUUUUACAGCAGCGGGCUGUUUUUCUAAUAAUACAGAAAAUUGCUGUAAACUGCAAUGCAUUGUGGGGCCGCGUGGCGGUUUAACCCAAUAUACAGAGUAUUGCUGUAAAUUUCAAAUUUUCAGAAUGCAUUGUGGGAUCUUCAACGGUCGAGAUUCGUGAAGCGCCAACAGGAGUGAUUCACAGCUGAGGUAAGUUACUCAUGUAUUUGUUUUUAAUAUUUGGUAAGUGCAGUAGUAUAUGAAAGUAUCUAACAGUUAUAUUAGUGGUUCAUUUUGGAAACGCCCAUGUUGUCGCAUCCGUUCUCCGUUCGCGGGGGCGAAUGAUACAUACGCGGGUUUUGAAAAGCACAGUCGCGGUAGUAUUUCACACAUACCCCGACGCUAAAUAUAGCUGCUACGGACGAAAACUGGCUUUCUACUUUAAGUUACAUUCCGUGACAAAAAUUAGGAUUUACAGGAACUCCUUCGUCGGCGGGACGCGAAUGAGACGCGGGGUUUUAGCCGCGCGGUCGUUGUAGUAUUUCACACAUAUACCGCCUUAACUGGGUUCCUACGUUAAGAAUUACAUGCUUCAGUGAGAAAGUUGAGGAACAAAGUCGUCCGCGGGACACGAAUGAGACGUGCAAUGGGCUUCAUCUGCAUCGCGGUUUUGUGGGGUGAGCAAUUGGACAGGCAGGUGGAGAGGAGACACUAGAUGCAUUCAUCCCAGCUUCCUGUCUGACUUUGCCACUCUGUUCACAGCAUAUCAUCUUCAUUCAAAGCGCUCUGUAUCUGGAGAGAGGAACAAAGAAGUCAGGAGGAAAAGUAAACAUCAGGCCAAAUGGUACAGAAGAAACAGGUUGCAGUGAACCUACAUGUUGCUACUCUUCUUUGCAAAGUGAUGGAUUUGCAGUGGAGUUUCUACAAUAUGUCGGAUACUCUUCACACCAUCGGUUAUCAAUCGCUGGCGGCCUCCCUCGGCGGCACUACCGCCGCCUUUCGCAACCUGUGAUGGAACACAGUCUGGAGCCGAAUUGUUCUCCUUGACCAGAAGUUUAUUGGAAUUGCUUGGGAUCAUUUGGACAUACUGGACUGUUCCUGCAGUGGUGACAAUUAAUCUGUUUUUUAUGUAACAAUUAUACAACUUCAUUUCAUUUCGUCAUCCACGAAAAUUAUUUGUGAGUCCUAUUGGAUUUGAUUCCUAUCAACAGUGAAGGUAAAGACCCAUUGUUCCACACUCUUUUAUAGCAUUAUCAAGCUAUGCCAUUGUUGUUGUCAUCGUUGUUUAGUAACCUCUAGCUAAAUAUAUUUAAUAUUGUGCCUUUAAAGUUAUGCAGUUUUUUAGAUAUUCCUCUUUCUGUGUGAAGGGCCACACAGUGUACAUGUUUCAAUUACUUUAAAAAUAUUUAAUUUCAUGUCCAUUAAAAAAAAACAUUCAAAAUAUAUGUUUUGACAUUUUCCAUGCAAAUGUAAAAGUUAUAUAUUAAAUUUAAAUAAAUUUUGAACUGUUUUUAAAGCUUGUGUUAUUUUUUAAUUUUGUGAAAUAAUAGGUGAAUUAAGUUAUGUACAACAUGUUAUGCAGUUACAUAAAGUGUAAAGUUUGCCUUAAAUGUAUUUUAGUGGCCAGUUUUAAUCAUUAGAAUACUAUACUGCAUUUACAU